rnacentral:rRNA from 1 species
CCUACUGGUUACUCGACUCUGUCCUUUACUGGAUGGAGUAGUGUCGCAAGGCAUCGCUUGAUGCUAUAUUGCCUGUAAGUGUAGUUAUUGGGUAAAACUGGUAGUGAAACUUAUAGGAUCACAGUAUAGUAUUAAGUGGGGUUCCAGUUCAUUUACUUUGAGUAAAUUAGAGUGUUCAAAGCAGCCUCUUGGGGCAUUGAAUAGAUUAGCAUGGGAUAAUAGAAUAGGACUCUUGUCUAUUUAUUGGUUUAUAGAUUUAGAGUAAUGAUUAAUAGGGAUAGUUGGGGGCGAGGGCUGAGUCAGGGGCUCGAUGUAGAACCGCACCAGCUUGUGCAGCAGCUGUUGGGCACGUGAGAGCUGAAGACGGCGCAGCGCAGGCAGUGUCAUGCACCUGCACGUAGGUGGUCUCCGUGUCCAGGAUCUCACGCUCCACCAUGGCGCGUACGCGCAGCGCUUUCUUCGCGGGGUCGUGCGC